CUCAUAUUAUUUUAAAGUUACCAACUGUAUUGGAGAGAAGCACACCAACGUUCGCCAGAAUUCAAGGAUCCGGUGCUGGAUCCUUGAAUUAUAGAUAGUUGAAUCCUGGGAGAUAGAUGCCUGUUGAACUUCAAGCACUGAGAAGAGGCGAAAUUCUGUCUUUAGGACAUUGCGAAUACGCAAGCCUCUAUCUUCAAUAAAAGUCAGUAUUCUGUACUUAAUUUAUAUUUACACAUUUGUACAGAUUUCGUAAUUUUGCUACUGUUUAUAUUUUAAGAGUUGUGCAAUAAUAUAGUGAUCCUAUAGUAUAAAACAUUUACUGAUUAUAUUCUAACAGGAUGCAAUUGGUGAUAAUUUGAAAUGGUGUUUGGUGGUCGACAAAGUUCCCUUCUUCGAGGUGGAUUCUUCCUAUUAUGAAGAUGUUUCUUUGACGCCUCUAGAUGAGUGUGCAAAAACUGCGAUAGGUUUCCACCCGAGUAUUGGGGAUACCAUCUACGUAGAUGCUAAGAAAAUUACCAGGUGGAACUUUGGUGCAAGAAUGUUUGAGUUAUUUCCAGAGAUUCCAAGUCAGGACUCGCGUUGGAAUCUCAAUUACAUCCACCCAUUUGUGCUCCCAUGAUGGCCCACACCCGUUCUUAGCCUCUAAACUACUCUACUAUAGCGAAAAGUGUGUAGAGCUCUAGCUCUGACUCUAGCUUUGAUGCAUGACCACCUUAUUCCAUUCUCUGGUUACUGGCUCCUUUGGCUUUGGCUUGUGUUUUCCCUUGAUUGAUGUGUUCUAAUUGGUGCUUCGAGGGUUUCGAUUUUGGUGUAGUGGGUGAUUAUUGUGUGACUAUCUUUGUAUUUGUGCGCUUAUUUUAUUUGCCGAUAUGUGUGUUUUGGUUUUUUUUGUAGUUUGUUUUUUGUGUUUUUUUUUUUUGGUUGUAUCUUGCAUAUUCAUCAUGAGAUGCUGAAGGAUUCCUCAGGCAUCCGAAUUCAAUUUUGGACAUCAAUAAUAUGGUUGACAAAAUUUCAUUGGGUUGGAAGUUAGAUCAGUCUCAUAUUUGUGAUGCCAUAAUAGCUGAUGGCGAACAAGUUCAGAGUAAGGGUUGUUGUGUUGCGGUUCCUUUAGCCAUCGGGACUUGUGUAUAUACCUCCGAUAUGUUUGCUUUGCCAUUAGGAGGCUGUGACAUUGUGUUAGGGGUUCAAUGGUUGAGAACUCUUGGUCCAAUCUUGUGGGACUUUGAGAGAUUAACUAUGAAGUUUUGGCAUGGGAAUGAGCAAAUUUGUUUGUCCAGUUCUAAGCCUCAGCCUCCACAACCUAUUUCUUGUCAUUAGAUGGACAAGUUGUUGCAUUCAGGUUGUUAUGGUGUGAUUCUCUGUGCUGUAGAAUGUGAAAAUAUGACCAAACCUGCAGAUGAUUUAUCCUCACCACAACAGAAUGAAUUGCAAGCCUUGUUGGAUUCUUUUUUUGCAGUCUUUGGCACCCCAAGUACUCUACCUCCUAUGAGAGAACAUGAUCAUCGGAUCCCACUGAUUUAUGGUUGUAAACCACCAAGCAUUAGACCAUAUGCUUAUGGACCACUUCAAAAGUCAGAAAUUGAAAAGUGCGUCAAAGAGCUGCUGGACUCUGGAUUUAUAAGGAACAGUCAUAGUCCUUUUUCUUCUCCUGUUUUGUUGGUCAAGAAGAAGGAUAGCACAUGGAGAAUGUGCAUGGAUUACAGACAAUUAAACGAGUUAACUAUAAAGGAUAAAUAUCCAAUUCCACUUAUUGAUGAUCUGUUGGAUGAAUUGCAUGGGGCAAAGUAUUUUUCCAAAUUGGACUUGAGGAGUGGCUAUCAUCAGAUUAGAGUUCAUCCAGAAGAUAUUGAAAAAACAGCUUUUCGGACUCAUGAGGGACAUUAUGAAUUCCUUGUUAUGCCCUUUGGUUUGACAAAUGCUCCUGCCACAUUUCAAGGUUUGAUGAAUGAGAUUUUCCGAAAUUGUUUACGGCAGUUUGUCUUGGUAUUUUUUGAUGAUAUUCUCGUUUACAGUACUUCAUGGUCAAAUCAUUUGAGGCAUUUACAUACUAUUUUGGAAAUUUUGAAGCAUCAUCAACUUUUUGUCAAGAUGUCCAAGUGUGCCUUUGGAGUUUCUACUAUUGAAUAUUUGGGCCACAUCGUCUCUAGGCAAGGAGUUUCAGCUGAUCCUUCCAAAUUAAACGCAGUUGUUGAUUGGCCUGUACCUACUUUUGUUAAAAGUUUGAGAGGAUUUUUGGGUCUCACAGGCUAUUUUCAAAAAUUUAUUCCUCACUAUGGUAGGGAAAGUUUCCCUUUGACUCAGUUAACCAAGAAGGAUGGAUUUUUGUGGACUCUAGAGGCUACUGCUGCCUUUCACAAACUCAAGGAACUCAUGUUUCAGAAUAGUCCUCAGUCUUGAUUCGGUUUGGAGGACCAAAGUUUUUGCUGCUCAUCACUCAGUUCCUACGGCUGGUCAUGCUGGUUUCUUGAAGACUUAUCAAAGGCUUUCUCGGAGUUUUUAUUGGCCAGGUAUGAAACAUGAUGUGCAGAAAAUGGUAGCUGAAUGUCCAACUGUCAACAACACAAGUAUGAAAUUGUGACUCCUGCUGGAUUAUUGCAACCCUUGCCUAUACCAGAUGAGGUGUGGAUUGAUAUCUCAAUGGAUUUUAUUGUUGGAUUACCCCCUUGCCAAGGGAAAUCUGUUAUUUUUGUGGUAGUUGAUCAUCUGAGCAACUAUGCCAUCCUUAUUCAGCUGCUACCAUUGCUCAGCUCUUUGUGGACCAUGUGUUUAAGUUACAUGGUAUGCCUAGCUCCAUUGUUGUCACAGGGAUCCAAUAUUUGUUAGUGACUUAUGGAAAGAAUUCUUUAAAUUGCAUGAUGUAGUCUUACAGAUGAGCUCUGAUUACCAUCCACAAAUUGAUGGCCAAACUGAAGUGGUUAAUCGGUGUUGGGAGACCUAUUUGAGGUGCUUUGCUGCAGCUCAACCCAAAAAAUGGUUGCUUUGGUUAUCUUGGGCUGAAUUUAGCUAUAAUACAGCCUAUCAUACAUCAACCAAGUUAACCCCAUUUGAAGUUGUUUAUGGUCGGCCCCCACCCAUGGUCACACCAUAUGAGCCAAGCAUUACAAGAUUCGCCAAUGUUGACAGAAGCUUGACUGCGUGAGACAAAUUGUUGACCUUGUUGAAAUCUAAUCUCCUUAUGGCACAGAAUCGAAUGAAGACACAAGCUGAUAAACAUCGCUCCGAAAGAGAAUUUCAGAUCGGGGAUAUGGUGUAUUUGCGAUUGGUACCUUAUGGGUUACAGUCCUUGGCUGCUCACUCAUACCAGCCGAAAUUUUAUGGACCUUAUGAGAUACUGGAGAAGUUGGGACCAGUGGCUUACAAACUCCAAUUGCCUACUGGUUGUAAGAUCCACCCCGUAUUUCAUGUCUCUUGUUUAAAGAAGCAUUUGGGAACUCACGUGACUCCUUCGUUAACAUUACCUCGAAUUACGGAAGAUGGUAUUGUGCAAGAUGAGCCACUGGCUAUUUUGGAAAGGAAGUUAGUCAAACGUGGUAAUGCUGCAGGGGUGGAUGUCUUAGUGCAUUGGAAGGGUCAAACACUAGAGGAUGCCACGUGAGAGGACUACCAUGACCUCAAGGCCAGAUUUCCAGAUUUUAUUGCCCAGGUUGAAGCUGCUUUCAAUUCCAGAUGAAUCAUGUUGCACUUUCUGUGGCACCUCUGUUUUUGUUCUAAUAAGUUUUCAAUGCUUGUAAACUUAGCUUUAAAGGGAGGGGUAAUGAUAGGAAUUAGGAGUUGGAGCCAAAACUGUAAAACAGUUUUGGAUAGUUAGUUAGCCACGUGUCAAGUUUUAGUUGGGGAAUCUGUUACAAUUACUGUUGUAUCCUCUACGGUGGUUUUAUUACCAAUUGGGGAGCCAUUGUACGUCUUGUUGGGAAAUAUACAGAAAAUAUUCUUU
rnacentral:lncRNA from 1 species